rnacentral:rRNA from 1 species
UAGGUUUAUCCGCCCUGGGUUAGUCGGGUCCUAAGGCGAGGCCGACAGGCGUAGUCGAUGGACAACCAGUUGAUAUUCUGGUACCGCGUUGUGACCGCCCAUGCUGACGUCAUUGUGCUAACCAAUCUGCCCGUACCCCCGCAUGACUUUCGGGUUGUGUGGUGUGUGUGGGUCUUGGGGUCCCGGUGAUGGUAGGCAAGCGUGUUAACAGGGGUGACGCAGACAGGUAGCUGCAGUGCGCCGAUGGUUGUGCGUAUUUAAGGUUGUGGCCCGUUCCUCAGGUAAAUCCGGGGGACACGUGGGUGAGAACUGAUGAGGGACACACGCGUGUGUGGACUUGUGGUGAUCCUAAGCUGCCGAGAAAAGCCUCGACGUGAGGGCAUGACGCGCCCGUACCCUAAACCGACUCAGGUGGUCAGGUAGAGUAUACCGAGGCGUUCGAGUGAAUCGUGGUUAAGGAACUCGGCAAAAUUCCUCCGUAACUUCGGGAUAAGGAGGACCCCGUGACUUCCCAACACCGCGCGUGUUGGUGGGGUUGUGGGGUCGCAGAGAAUAGGGAGAAGCGACUGUUUAUCAAAAACACAGGUGCGUGCGAAGCCGUAAGGCGAUGUAUACGCACUGACGCCUGCCCGGUGCUGGAAGGUUAAGAGGAACCGUCAACACCCACUUGUGGGUGUGAAGCGGUGAAUUUAAGCCCCAGUAAACGGCGGUGGUAACUAUAACCAUCCUAAGGUAGCGAAAUUCCUUGUCGGGUAAGUUCCGACCUGCACGAAUGGCGUAACGACUUCUCCGCUGUCUCAACCGCGAACUCGGUGAAAUUGCAGUACGAGUAAAGAUGCUCGUUUCGCGCAGAAGGACGGAAAGACCCCGGGACCUUUACUAUAGCUUGGUAUUGGUGUUCGCUUGGACUUGUGUAGGAUAGGUGGGAGACUGUGAAGCUGCCGCGCCAGCGGUGGUGGAGUCGUCGUUGAAAUACCAUUCUGGUUCAAGCGGUCACCUCAACCUUGGCCCGUGAUCCGGGUUGGGGACAGUGCCUGGUGGGUAGUUUAACUGGGGCGGUUGCCUCCUAAAAUGUAACGGAGGCGCUCAAAGGUUCCCUCAGCCUGGUUGGUAAUCAGGUGGCGAGUGCAAGUGUACAAGGGAGCUUGACUGUGAGACCGACGGGUCGAGCAGGUGCGAAAGCAGGAACUAGUGAUCCGGCCAUGGCACGUGGGUGCGUGGUCGCUCAACGGAUAAAAGGUACCCCGGGGAUAACAGGCUGAUCUUGCCCAAGAGUCCAUAUCGACGGCAUGGUUUGGCACCUCGAUGUCGGCUCGUCGCAUCCUGGGGCUGGAGUUGGUCCCAAGGGUUGGGCUGUUCGCCCAUUAAAGCGGUACGCGAGCUGGGUUCAGAACGUCGUGAGACAGUUCGGUCCCUAUCCUCUGUGCGCGCAGGAAAUUUGAGAAGGGCCGUCCCUAGUACGAGAGGACCGGGAUGGACGAACCUCUGGUGUGCCAGUUGUACCGCCAGGUGCAUGGCUGGUUGGCUACGUUCGGAAGGGAUAACCGCUGAAAGCAUCUAAGCGGGAAGCCUGCUUCAAGAUGAGAUUUCCACGCCCCCCGUGGGUGAGAGGCCCCCGCCAGACGAGCGGGUCGAUAGGCCAGAGGUGGAAGCACCGCGAGGUGCUCGUGAGCCGACUGGUACUAAUGGGCCAACAUU